UGAGGAAUAUUGCGCAAUGGGGGAAACCCUGACGCAGCAACGCCGCGUGGGUGAAGAAGGCCUUCGGGUUGUAAAGCCCUGUCAGGUGGGAAGAAACCUUUAUAGGUGAAUAGUCUAUGAAGCUGACGGUACCACCAAAGGAAGCACCGGCUAACUCCGUGCCAGCAGCCGCGGUAAGACGGAGGGUGCAAGCGUUGUUCGGAAUCACUGGGCGUAAAGCGCGUGUAGGCGGUUUGCUAAGUCGGUUGUGAAAGCCCGAGGCUCAACUUCGGAAGUGCAGUCGAAACUGGCAGGCUUGAGUACGGGAGAGGGAAGUGGAAUUCCUGGUGUAGAGGUGAAAUUCGUAGAUAUCAGGAGGAACACCGGUGGCGAAGGCGGCUUCCUGGACCGAUACUGACGCUGAGACGCGAAAGCGUGGGGAGCAAACAGG
rnacentral:rRNA from 1 species